rnacentral:rRNA from 1 species
GACGAACGCUGGCGGCGUGCUUAACACAUGCAAGUCGAGCGGAAAGGCCCUGCUUUUGUGGGGUGCUCGAGUGGCGAACGGGUGAGUAACACGUGAGUAACCUGCCCUUGUCUUUGGGAUAACUUCAGGAAACUGGGGCUAAUACCGGAUAGGAGCUCCUGCCGCAUGGUGGGGGUUGGAAAGUUUCGGCGGUUGGGGAUGGACUCGCGGCUUAUCAGCUUGUUGGUGGGGUAGUGGCUUACCAAGGCUUUGACGGGUAGCCGGCCUGAGAGGGUGACCGGCCACAUUGGGACUGAGAUACGGCCCAGACUCCUACGGGAGGCAGCAGUGGGGAAUAUUGCACAAUGGGCGGAAGCCUGAUGCAGCAACGCCGCGUGCGGGAUGACGGCCUUCGGGUUGUAAACCGCUUUCGCCUGUGACGAAGCGUGAGUGACGGUAAUGGGUAAAGAAGCACCGGCUAACUACGUG